UCCAGACUCCUACGGGAGGCAGCAGUGGGGGAUAUUGCACAAUGGGGGAAACCCUGAUGCAGCAACGCCGCGUGAGUGAAGAAGUAUUUCGGUAUGUAAAGCUCUAUCAGCAGGGAAGAGAAUGACGGUACCUGACUAAGAAGCCCCGGCUAACUACGUGCCAGCAGCCGCGGUAAUACGUAGGGGGCGAGCGUUAUCCGGAUUUACUGGGUGUAAAGGGAGCGUAGACGGCUGGUCAAGUCUGAAGUGAAAGCCCGGGGCUUAACCCCGGAACGGCUUUGGAAACUGAGCAGCUAGAGUGCUGGAGAGGUAAGCGGAAUUCCUAGUGUAGCGGUGAAAUGCGUAGAUAUUAGGAGGAACACCAGUGGCGAAGGCGGCUUACUGGACAGUAACUGACGUUGAGGCUCGAAAGCGUGGGGAGCAAACAGGAUUAGAUACCCCCGUAUCA
rnacentral:rRNA from 1 species